CGGACGGGUGAGUAACGCGUGGAAAACCUGCCGUAUACUGGGGGAUAACACUUAGAAAUAGGUGCUAAUACCGCAUAAGCGCACAGCUUCGCAUGAAGCGGUGUGAAAAACUCUGGUGGUAGGGUACGAUGGUUCCGCGUCUGAUUAGCUAGUUGGUGGGGUAAUGGCCUACCAAGGCAACGAUCAGUAGCCGGCCUGAGAGGGUGAACGGCCACAUUGGGACUGAGACACGGCCCAAACUCCUACGGAAGGCAGCAG
rnacentral:rRNA from 1 species